GGCUGAAAUCAUGCUAGCUGAACCAUGGCAGCUCGCCAGCAGCAGCAGCAGCGGCGGCGGCGGCGGUUCGUCCUGCUCUAUUGUUCAGACUGGAGACAAAAAGAGAAAAAUAAAAAAACAAAAACAAAACCCGAACGAGAGCCAACAGCUUUCUGUCUCUGUUUCUGCAGCACAUAAAACGACACAGCUGCUCAGCGAGAUCUGUCAUUUCCACAGAACAAAGCCGCCGAGGACGUCAUUGUGUCAAAAACCACGAGAGCACGUCCAGCGGUUUGGCAGCGUUUGUCCUCCUCGAGUCAGAGACGUCCAUUCAAACAACUCAUUCAGUCUAUUUCUGCUCUUUUCAUUCUUAAAAUCCAGUUUGUAUUCAUAGAAGUUGUCGUAUCAAAGCAUAACUCGGGUGUUAUUUUCAUAGAUUUGUCUAUAAUCUCUCUGAGUAAUAACAACAUGAUGAUGAAGCUUUGGUGAAAGUUUAAGAAGGAAGGUCAAUGUGUGCUACUUCCUCUAGUUUUAAUCUCUCUGUCACUUCAUUCACAACUCCAACGUCACCACACCUGCCUGCGCUCCUCAAGCCAAUCAGUGUUUAGAUGCUUUUCUUUAAAUAUCGCUGCAAGUCAGACCUACUAUUGUGCAACCCUCCUCUUCCUCUUCAUCACCACCACCGUGACCUCAGCUGUUGAUACUCUUGAUCACAACAUUUUGUUAAAUCAGCUGUUCUCUGUGGGUUUUGAUGCUUCUGCAGUUGGUUCAGAUCAAAUCUCUGUUAAAGAUCGCAGAUGGUUUCAAAUCAAGCCUCCAAACUAUUGAUAAAGGUGUCCCCCAAGGAUCAAUAUUAGACCCCCUGCUAUUUACUCUCUCUAUAUAAAUAACAUUUAUGUUCCAACUCAGCAGUGUGAUGUUCAUCUUGUGCUGCAGACCUCUCUGUUUGAUUUAAAGCUCGUUCUAAACUCUCAAAAAAGACUAAAUGUGUUCACCAUUGCAGCACAAACCAUUAAUGUUUCCACACCUGUCUAUGCUCUAAAUGCAGAACUAAUUGACACAGUGCAGCAUUAUAAAUACUUCGGUUAGACAGCAGAUUGUCCUACAAAACUUAAACAUGUUGAACAUCUUGCUAAAAAACUAAAGAUUCAAACUGGAUUCUUGUACUAGAACAGAUUUUAUUUCUCUUGUCAAAGCAGAAAACACAUUAUAUGCAGAAAUCCUGAGUGUUCAUGCUGCUGCCGCCACCUUUAAUCCUCUGAACUGGGACAGACUGGUUUCAGGUACUACUCACUACUGGAACAAACUGGAACAAACUGCAACACAGCUUAAAGUUAGAGACACUUGUUCCUCUGAGGGAAGUCAAAGGUUUAAUAGCUGCUUUUCCUCUGUGUCUGAUGAUUGUUUUAUGAUCAUGAUGAGAAUGAACCGUCUUAUUGUGAUCCUGUGUAUAUGUAACCUGUUCUCAGGUCUUAAUCUCAGUGAGAUUCUCUGUUUCUAUAAAGCUUAAUAAUAAUAAUAUCCAGGGAGACUCACUCAAAGCUUUCCAUCAACCACCUGCUGGCUCCGCUCCACCGCCAUCAACCUCUAGACUCCGGGGGGAUCUAAGGACCUACUGUACUACUGCUUUAUGAAGAGACUUCACAUCGAUGGAGUCUAAUCGCCAAAAACCUGCCAAAGUCAUUGAUGAUGCACUUUUACACCGCCGUCACCAAGUUCAUCCUCACCUCCUCCAUCACCAUCUGGUACACUGCUGCUGCUGCUGCUGCUGCUGCCAAAGACAAGAGCAGACUGCAGUGGAUCAUCAGCUACAACCUGCCGUCCCUCCAGGACCCGAACGCCUCCAGGACACCGAGGAGAGCAGCAGUAAACGCUCCACAUUCGGCCUGUCCAAGGCUGUUUUUAGCCUCGUCCUUGUGUGGUCUAAAUAAAAACCAUGGGUCAUCAGAUAUUCUCUGAGGAAGAUCAACGGCUUUGUGGAGCUUCAUUUAACCUCCCAUUGUGUGUUCGGUUGACGCUCAAACCCACUUUUUUGACAUAACGUGCUGAACAUUUCUUGCUGUUCUUGGUUAUGUUGUCCUUCAUCAUCACGGUACAUCUAGGCGGACUCUCCUGCUGUUUGUCUGUCUGUAUGUCCUAAAAAAUGUGGCACUUCUGGGUUACAGUCUCAAGAAUCAGCGGCACUAAGAGUAUAAAGGACCCAUAUACUUAGUUUAGGAUGUUUUACAUCAGUACAAGAGCGCUCAUAUACUUGCUUUUAUACUUACAAGAUGCAGUUUAGAAGAUGAAUGGUGAGAUCAGUGAAGUGAGGUCAACAGCAAACUGUGAAGAACAACCAACAUUAGAGCGUUUUUCUUUUUCUGCCAUGAACAUUAAAAGGGAAACUCCACAUGUUCUAUGUUAAAAAAAAAAGGUAUUAUAAAGCAUUUUGUGUCUCCAGACGGAGCUGCUGUGUGAAAUCUGAUGAAUAGCCUCAAGUGAUGUCACUUGAGUCAGCGUCAGAUGUGGCUGUGUGUAGUUAGAGAGAAGUGAGUUUAUUAAACCUCUGUAGCUGCUCCUCAUCUCUGCUGGAGGCUAGCAGCUCCAGGCUAAAUUAGCCGCUACUAGCAUAACACACCUGAAUCUCCUACCGAACUGUCAGGGUUUUGAGUUGCAUUAUGGGUAAUGUAGGCAGCAGGUUUUGAAAGAAAAAGCAUUGAAUUUUGAUCCUUAUUUUUAAAAACUGUCCAUCAUGAGUCUGACAGGAGUGAAAUACUAAAUCAGCAGAGUACUCUUUUAACAACAUAGUAGCCUCCUUUAAUGCCCAUUUAUAUUAAUACAUACAUUUUUAAUCCUCCAGAUACAGUACCAAUACUGUUAAUGUUGAGUAAAUCUAUUUUUCCUUGUGCAGUUGUUAUUUCCUACCUUCCAGGCAGUGAUUAGUUUCCGUUUUUUCCAGCUGGAAAACACAGAUUUCUGUUGCAAGUGAUAAUCUGCUUCAGAAAUGUACCUUGAUUGUCCUUUUUGUUUGUCUGUUUAUUAAAGCUUUGUUACUAUAAUGUUAUUUUGUGAAAGUGGUGGUGUGUUCAAAGACGACUAGAAAUCUAUGCAGUACCAGUCAGCUG